rnacentral:rRNA from 1 species
GGCAGCAGUGGGGAAUAUUGCACAAUGGGCGCAAGCCUGAUGCAGCAACGCCGCGUGAGGGACGAAGGCCUUCGGGUUGUAAACCUCUUUUAGUAGGGAAGAAGCGACUGGGUUUUCCUGGGAGUGACGGUACCUGCAGAAAAAGCACCGGCUAACUACGUGCCAGCAGCCGCGGUAAUACGUAGGGUGCAAGCGUUGUCCGGAAUUAUUGGGCGUAAAGAGCUCGUAGGCGGUUUGUCGCGUCUGCUGUGAAAACCCGAGGCUCAACCUCGGGCCUGCAGUGGGUACGGGCAGACUAGAGUGCGGUAGGGGAGAUUGGAAUUCCUGGUGUAGCGGUGGAAUGCGCAGAUAUCAGGAGGAACACCAAUGGCGAAGGCAGAUCUCUGGGCCGUAACUGACGCUGAGGAGCGAAAGCAUGGGGAGCGAACAGGAUUAGAUACCCUGGUAGUCCAUGCCGUAAACGUUGGGAACUAGAUGUGGGGACCAUUCCACGGUCUCCGUGUCGCAGCUAACGCAUUAAGUUCCCCGCCUGGGGAGUACGGCCGCAAGGCUAAACUCAAAGGAAUUGACGGGGGCCCGCACAAGCGGCGGAGCAUGCGGAUUAAUUCGAUGCAACGCGAAGAACCUUACCAAGGCUUGACAUAUACCGGAAACGGCUGGAAACAGUCGCCCCGCAAGGUCGGUAUACAGGUGGUGCAUGGUUGUCGUCAGCUCGUGUCGUGAGAUGUUGGGUUAAGUCCCGCAACGAGCGCAACCCUCGUCCUAUGUUGCCAGCACGUAAUGGUGGGAACUCAUGGGAUACUGCCGGGGUCAACUCGGAGGAAGGUGGGGAUGACGUCAAAUCAUCAUGCCCCUUAUGUCUUGGGCUUCACGCAUGCUACAAUGGCCGGUACAAAGGGCUGCGAUACCGCAAGGUGGAGCGAAUCCCAAAAAGCCGGUCUCAGUUCGGAUUGAGGUCUGCAACUCGACCUCAUGAAGUCGGAGUCGCUAGUAAUCGCAGAUCAGCAACGCUGCGGUGAAUACGUUCCCGGGCCUUGUACACACCGCC